rnacentral:pre_miRNA from 1 species
AGAACGAUCUGCAGCCAAGGAUGACUUGCCGACAUGCUUAGAGAGAGAGAGAGAGAUAGAGAGCGAGAGAGAGAGAGAAGUUUGUUGGGACACAGAGGUAUGUUGUGGAGUAACAAGGCAAUACGGCACUGCACAUGCAUGAAUUCAAAGAGAGAAUGCAUGACAAAGAUGACUGUUUUUUUUUGGUAAUGUUGACCUUGUGACAAAGAUGACUGUUUGCAUGAAGAAACCAAAAUAUGGAACAAAGUUGUGUCCAUGUGUACCAGAGAGAGAGAGAGAGGGAAGGUUGUGGGCCAUGUGUUACAGAGAGAGAGAGUAGGAAGGUUGUGGGCAAGUUGUCUUUGGCUACGUUGCGUUCUCU